rnacentral:rRNA from 1 species
UCGUAGGGAAACCGAGUCUGAAUAGGGCGAUAAGUUGCAUGCUGUAGACCCGAAACCGUGUGAUCUAUCCAUGACCAGGAUGAAGCUUGGGUAAAACCAAGUGGAGGUCCGAACCAGUGUCUGUUGAAAAAGGCUUGGAUGAGUUGUGGAUAGGGGUGAAAUUCCAAUCGAACACGGAGAUAGCUGGUUCUCCCCGAAAUAGCUUUAGGGCUAGCGUCGUAAAGAGAGUGAUGA